GGAGGAUCAUUAUCGUAGGGCUUCGGCCCUGUCGAGAUAGAACCCUUGCCUUUUUGAGUACCUUUCGUUUCCUCGGCAGGCUCGCCUGCCAAUGGGGACCACAAAAAACACUUUGCAGUACCUGUAACAGUCUGAACAAACAAACAAAAAUUAAAACUUUCAACAACGGAUCUCUUGGUUCUGGCAUCGAUGAAGAACGCAGCGAAAUGCGAUAAGUAGUGUGAAUUGCAGAAUUCAGUGAAUCAUCGAAUCUUUGAACGCACAUUGCGCCCUUUGGUAUUCCUUAGGGCAUGCCUGUUCGAGCGUCAUUUAAACCUUCAAGCUAAGCUUGGUGUUGGGUGACUGUCCGCCUCACGGCGGACUCGCCUCAAAAUUAUUGGCGGCCGGUACAUUGGCUUCGAGCGCAGCAGAAACGCGAACUCGGGCCCGUCGUAUUGGCUCCCAGAAGCUAUCUUCACAAUUUUGACCUCGGAUCAGGUAGGGAUACCCGCUGAACUUAAGCAUAUCAAUAAGCGGAGGA
rnacentral:rRNA from 1 species